GAUGAACGCUGGCGGCGUGCCUAAUACAUGCAAGUCGAGCGAACAGACGAGGAGCUUGCUCCUCUGACGUUAGCGGCGGACGGGUGAGUAACACGUGGAUAACCUACCUAUAAGACUGGGAUAACUUCGGGAAACCGGAGCUAAUACCGGAUAAUAUAUUGAACCGCAUGGUUCAAUAGUGAAAGACGGUUUUGCUGUCACUUAUAGAUGGAUCCGCGCCGCAUUAGCUAGUUGGUAAGGUAACGGCUUACCAAGGCAACGAUGCGUAGCCGACCUGAGGGGGUGAUCAGCCACACUGGAACUGAGACACGGUCCAGACUCCUACGGGAGGCAGCAGUAGGGAAUCUUCCGCAAUGGGCGAAAGCCUGACGGAGCAACGCCGCGUGAGUGAUGAAGGUCUUCGGAUCGUAAAACUCUGUUAUUAGGGAAGAACAAAUGUGUAAGUAACUAUGCACGUCUUGACGGUACCUAAUCAGAAAGCCACGGCUAACUACGUG
rnacentral:rRNA from 1 species